CUCCUAUUUAAGUAUAUCUAAAAGAAGAAAGGCCUUCAAAUAACAGAAAACAAAAAAAGUCAAAAAAGAUAACUACUUUAGGCACCCACAAAAAAGACCUUAUAAAAUAGAGAUACCAAUUGUGCAAAAUCAAGGAUUCUGUUGGAAAUUUAUAUUAUGAUUAGAGAGGUUUUAUAAGGACAUAUUUUAUUGCAGCAAUUAUUGGUUGGACCAAGUUUAUUAGCUUACUAAUGGACCAC
rnacentral:lncRNA from 1 species